UACAGAGGUCUCAAGCGUUGUUCGGAUUCAUUGGGCGUAAAGGGUGUGUAGGUGGCGCGCUAAGUCGGGUGUGAAAUUUCGGAGCUUAACUCCGAAGCUGCAUUCGAUACUGGCGUGCUUGAGGACUGGAGAGGAGACUGGAAUUCAUGGUGUAGCAGUGAAAUGCGUAGAGAUCAUGAGGAAGACCAGUGGCGAAGGCGGGUCUCUGGGCCAUUACUGACGCUGAGGAGCGAAAGCGUGGGGAGCGAACAGG
rnacentral:rRNA from 1 species